GAUUAUGACGUACUUGUACUGAUUGAGAUUUUAACACGAAGUGAGUGGCGAACGGGUGAGUAACACGUGGGUAACCUGCCCAGAAGUAGGGGAUAACACCUGGAAACAGAUGCUAAUACCGUAUAACAGAGAAAACCGCAUGGUUUUCUUUUAAAAGAUGGCUCUGCUAUCACUUCUGGAUGGACCCGCGGCGUAUUAGCUAGUUGGUGAGGUAAAGGCUCACCAAGGCAGUGAUACGUAGCCGACCUGAGAGGGUAAUCGGCCACAUUGGGACUGAGACACGGCCCAGACUCCUACGGGAGGCAGCAGUAGGGAAUCUUCCACAAUGGACGCAAGUCUGAUGGAGCAACGCCGCGUGAGUGAAGAAGGGUUUCGGCUCGUAAAGCUCUGUUGUUAAAGAAGAACGUGGGUAAGAGUAACUGUUUACCCAGUGACGGUAUUUAACCAGAAAGCCACGGCUAACUACGUGCCAGCAGCCGCGGUAAUACGUAGGUGGCAAGCGUUAUCCGGAUUUAUUGGGCGUAAAGCGAGCGCAGGCGGUCUUUUAAGUCUAAUGUGAAAGCCUUCGGCUCAACCGAAGAAGUGCAUUGGAAACUGGGAGACUUGAGUGCAGAAGAGGA
rnacentral:rRNA from 1 species